AUUGAACGCUGGCGGCAUGCUUUACACAUGCAAGUCGAACGGCAGCGCGGGCUUCGUCCUGGCGGCGAGUGGCGAACGGGGGAGUAAUGCAUCGGAACGUGCCCAGUAGUGGGGGAUAGCCCGGCGAAAGCCGGAUUAAUACCGCAUACGACCUGAGGGUGAAAGCGGGGGACCGAAAGGCCUCGCGCUAUUGGAGCGGCCGAUGUCGGAUUUGCUAGUUGGUUGGGUAAAGGCUUACCAAGGCGACGAUCCGUAGCUGGCCUGAGAGGACGACCAGCCACACUGGAACUGAGACACGGCCCAGACUCCUACGGGAGGCAGCAGUGGGGAAUUUUGGACAAUGGGGGCAACCCUGAUCCAGCCAUGCCGCGUGCGGGAAGAAGGCCUUCGGGUUGUAAACCGCUUUUGUUCGGGAAGAAAUCCUCUGGGCUAAUACCCCGGGGGGAUGACGGUACCGGAAGAAUAAGCACCGGCUAACUACGUG
rnacentral:rRNA from 1 species